GAGAGAGAGUUCUUCUACACCGAGAAAAUCAACCUUCGAAGAGAAAAGUAAUCAAAUGAGACUUCAAUCCAUUUGGGCCGAGGCAGCAGAGGCGGCGGCAGCGGUAGGGGGCAGCUUCCGGGUAGCUUAAUGGCUGUCAGUGACAACCAUGAUAAAGACACUGCAAUACUCACCCAUGGUCAUGAAGUCGUCUUCGAUGAUCUUGCUGACGCAGGGCCGCUGCAGAGGGUCAGCCUGCAGCAGUUUCUGGAUGAGAGAGCGAGCGAGGGGGCCGACACGGGAGGGGAUGUGGUAUUCGUUCUUCUUAAUUCUCAGGAUACAACCAAUGGACCAGACAUCAACUUCAUAGCUGUGACCCUUCUUGCACAGGAUCUCAGGAGCAAUGUAGUUGGGAGUGCCACACAGGGUUCUGAAGACCAGAGACAAAGGAUUAAGAUAAGACAACCUGCAUUUUCUUUUUCU